GACGAACGCUGGCGGCGUGCUUAACACAUGCAAGUCGAGCGGAAAGGCCCUUCGGGGUACUCGAGCGGCGAACGGGUGAGUAACACGUGAGUAACCUGCCCCAGACUUUGGGAUAACCCUCGGAAACGGGGGCUAAUACCGGAUACGACACAGCUUCGCAUGGGGUCUGUGUGGAAAGUUUUUCGGUUUGGGAUGGGCACGCGGCCUAUCAGCUUGUUGGUGGGGUGAUGGCCUACCAAGGCGACGACGGGUAGCCGGCCUGAGAGGGCGACCGGCCACACUGGGACUGAGACACGGCCCAGACUCCUACGGGAGGCAGCAGUGGGGAAUAUUGCACAAUGGGCGGAAGCCUGAUGCAGCGACGCCGCGUGAGGGAUGACGGCCUUCGGGUUGUAAACCUCUUUCAGCAGGGACGAAGCGUAAGUGACGGUACCUGCAGAAGAAGCGCCGGCCAACUACGUG
rnacentral:rRNA from 1 species